rnacentral:rRNA from 1 species
GAUGAACGCUGGCGGCGUGCCUAAUACAUGCAAGUCGAGCGAACAGACGAGAAGCUUGCUCCUCUGACGUUAGCGGCGGACGGGUGAGUAACACGUGGAUAACCUACCUAUAAGACUGGGAUAACUUCGGGAAACCGGAGCUAAUACCGGAUAAUAUAUUGAACCGCAUGGUUCAAUAGUGAAAGACGGUUUUGCUGUCACUUAUAGAUGGAUCCGCGCCGCAUUAGCUAGUUGGUAAGGUAACGGCUUACCAAGGCAACGAUGCAUAGCCGACCUGAGAGGGUGAUCGGCCACACUGGAACUGAGACACGGUCCAGACUCCUACGGGAGGCAGCAGUAGGGAAUCUUCCGCAAUGGGCGAAAGCUUGACGGAGCAACGCCGCGUGAGUGAUGAAGGUCUUCGGAUCGUAAAACUCUGUUAUUAGGGAAGAACAAAUGUGUAAGUAACUAUGCACGUCUUGACGGUACCUAAUCAGAAAGCCACGGCUAACUACGUG